rnacentral:lncRNA from 1 species
UUUCAACACAUAAAUGGAGGAGUUUUAAAGCAAACAUAAAAAAAAAAUUCACACAUAAUAGUACACAAAUUUCAUCACCAACAUCAUCACAUAACCUCAAUUCAUCAACACAUUUAAGAAUUCAAUCAAAAACUCAACAAUCCUAUUGGAGGUUAAGGACUCCUUAUUAUACCCUUCAUGCAUUAUACCCCAUUUAUGAAUAAACCUCUCCCCUUACCUUAAUUUGUAGCAAGAAAUUUGAAUAUGAAUUGGUUUGAAU